rnacentral:lncRNA from 1 species
AUGUCAGGGUUAUUCUGUGCAGUGUCCAGGAAAGAGCCCUUGUUCCAUCUUCAUGCAUUUUAUUUUUCCAUGUACAGAAGUCUUUAUCCUGAGAGUGUCGUCAGAAGUGGGAAACGUGUGUUUACAACAGAAAAAGCUUUUCCAGAACUCGUGUCAUCACUUUUACCAAAGUGGAAGCCUGCAUGUAUAUGCUCAGAAUCGAAUACUCAAUGUUCUACUAUAUUUUUUUCUCAAGGAAGACUCUUCCAAAAUGCACAAGCUUCAGGCCCCACCCAAUCUGGAUCUGCCCUGGCUGCUGGGACCAGGAAGCUGUCCAGCUUGGACGCAGGGCCAGAAGAUCAGUGUUUAGACCACGGGAACUCAGGAUUCCUGGAACCCCAGACCACAGAGGCCCAUGCUGCUGCAGUGGCACUUGAGCUCCUGGGAGUGGGGCCCAGAGCAGAAUGAUGAGGGAACCAAGGCUCAGGACCACUCAGCUGGGAAGGGCCAGUGCUGUGCUAAGAAGGCAGGGAGGCUCCGUCUCGCCUCCCUCCGCAGCAGGGUCUCAACACAGGCCUCUGGAGGGCAGAGGACGGAGGGCUGCCAGCGCGCUAAGUGCCCGGGGUCUCACCUCAGGAUGGGUUUGCAGCCCCUGGGCCGGAGGAGGUGAGGAGCCUGGCUGCUGGCUUCUGGGGGAAGCAGAUGUAGGGGGGCAGGGGGCAGGGCGCAGGUGAGAGGCAGAGGUGACCACGCUGAGCCUCGGCACCAGCACCGCAGGAUGGCUCAGUGGGGCCCAGCACGUUCAAGGCACCAGGUGUAUGUGUGUUUCCUCACUAGCAAAGCAAGUGACAAAAUGAGCCCCCUAGUUUUUCUCUUCUCUCUGACCCGAAUGCUCCCCUGCCCCUCGUGUCAUCAGCAUGGUAGUGACCCUGGGUGUCUGUGAUGAGACCGGAGUUAUUACGUGCAGCUAAACCAUUCCAGAUUUUGUUUUCCACACCUCAAGCCCCAGGAAGCUUUCCUCCACAGAAAACACUGAAAACGAAUUUAGUUAACUCUGGACAGCUGCUAGAAAUCCAGGAGCCCUGUCUCAUCUCUGACCAGCAUUUUGGGACUUACCUGACCAUCUUGGGAAAAUGAACUCCAUGACCAAGUUGUAGACUUCUCUAGCAUUUUACCACAGAGGAUAUCCUUUGGUUAAUUUGGGCAAAUAUAAGUUUAUUUUUUCAAACUCAAAGCAAAAUGAGUUGGGCUGUCCAGCAAAUGCAGUUUGGACUAACACCUAAGCACAUGAAUACAUUUUUCUCUUAGGUCUUAAAAGCUUUUUGAUGGCAAAUCCUGAGUUUGGUUUUAAAAAGCGUGAUUAGGGGCGCCUGGGUGGCACAGCGGUUAAGUGUCUGCCUUCGGCUCAGGGCGUGAUCCCAGCGUUAUGGGAUCGAGCCCCGCAUCAGGCUCUCUUGCUAUGAGCCUGCUUCUUCCUCUCCCACUCCCCCUGCUUGUGUUCCCUCUCUCACUGGCUGUCUCUCUC